AGCACUGCACACAACCAGGAACCGGCUAGCUAUACGAACAAGGUAGUGAUGGAGUUUUUCACACUGUCGUCAUGGCUGAGCCGGCAAA